GGGUUGUGAGGUUAAGCGACUAAGCGUACACGGUGGAUGCCCUGGCAGUCAGAGGCGAUGAAGGACGUGCUAAUCUGCGAAAAGCGCCGGCGAGGUGAUAUGAACCUUUGACCCGGCGAUGUCCGAAUGGGGAAACCCAGUGCAAUUCGUUGCACUAUCGUUAACUGAAUACAUAGGUUAACGAGGCGAACCGGGGGAACUGAAACAUCUAAGUACCCCGAGGAAAAGAAAUCAACCGAGAUUCCCCCAGUAGCGGCGAGCGAACGGGGAGCAGCCCAGAGUCUGAAUCAGCUUGUGUGUUAGUGGAAGCGUCUGGAAAGUCGCACGGUACAGGGUGACAGUCCCGUACACGAAAAUGCACAGGUUGUGAACUCGAAGAGUAGGGCGGGACACGUGGUAUCCUGUCUGAAUAUGGGGGGACCAUCCUCCAAGGCUAAAUACUCCUGACUGACCGAUAGUGAACCAGUACCGUGAGGGAAAGGCGAAAAGAACCCCGGCGAGGGGAGUGAAAAAGAACCUGAAACCGUGUACGUACAAGCAGUGGGAGCACCUUCGUGGUGUGACUGCGUACCUUUUGUAUAAUGGGUCAGCGACUUAUAUUCUGUAGCAAGGUUAACCGUAUAGGGGAGCCGAAGGGAAACCGAGUCUUAACUGGGCGUUAAGUUGCAGGGUAUAGACCCGAAACCCGGUGAUCUAGCCAUGGGCAGGUUGAAGGUUGGGUAACACUAACUGGAGGACCGAACCGACUAAUGUUGAAAAAUUAGCGGAUGACUUGUGGCUGGGGGUGAAAGGCCAAUCAAACCGGGAGAUAGCUGGUUCUCCCCGAAAGCUAUUUAGGUAGCGCCUCGUGAACUCAUCUUCGGGGGUAGAGCACUGUUUCGGCUAGGGGGCCAUCCCGGCUUACCAACCCGAUGCAAACUACGAAUACCGAAGAAUGUUAUCACGGGAGACACACGGCGGGUGCUAACGUCCGUCGUGAAGAGGGAAACAACCCAGACCGCCAGCUAAGGUCCCAAAGUCAUGGUUAAGUGGGAAACGAUGUGGGAAGGCACAGACAGCCAGGAUGUUGGCUUAGAAGCAGCCAUCAUUUAAAGAAAGCGUAAUAGCUCACUGGUCGAGUCGGCCUGCGCGGAAGAUGUAACGGGGCUAAACCAUGCACCGAAGCUGCGGCAGCGACGCUUAGGCGUUGUUGGGUAGGGGAGCGUUCUGUAAGCCGUUGAAGGUGUCCUGUGAGGGGUGCUGGAGGUAUCAGAAGUGCGAAUGCUGACAUAAGUAACGAUAAAGCGGGUGAAAAGCCCGCUCGCCGGAAGACCAAGGGUUCCUGUCCAACGUUAAUCGGGGCAGGGUGAGUCGACCCCUAAGGCGAGGCCGAAAGGCGUAGUCGAUGGGAAACAGGUUAAUAUUCCUGUACUUGGUGUUACUGCGAAGGGGGGACGGAGAAGGCUAUGUUAGCCGGGCGACGGUUGUCCCGGUUUAAGCAUGUAGGCGGAGGUUCCAGGUAAAUCCGGUACCUUUUAACGCUGAGGUGUGAUGACGAGGCACUACGGUGCUGAAGUAACAAAUGCCCUGCUUCCAGGAAAAGCCUCUAAGCAUCAGGUAACAUCAAAUCGUACCCCAAACCGACACAGGUGGUCAGGUAGAGAAUACCAAGGCGCUUGAGAGAACUCGGGUGAAGGAACUAGGCAAAAUGGUGCCGUAACUUCGGGAGAAGGCACGCUGAUAUGUAGGUGAAGCCCCUGCGGGUGGAGCUGAAAUCAGUCGAAGAUACCAGCUGGCUGCAACUGUUUAUUAAAAACACAGCACUGUGCAAACACGAAAGUGGACGUAUACGGUGUGACGCCUGCCCGGUGCCGGAAGGUUAAUUGAUGGGGUUAGCGGCAACGCGAAGCUCUUGAUCGAAGCCCCGGUAAACGGCGGCCGUAACUAUAACGGUCCUAAGGUAGCGAAAUUCCUUGUCGGGUAAGUUCCGACCUGCACGAAUGGCGUAAUGAUGGCCAGGCUGUCUCCACCCGAGACUCAGUGAAAUUGAACUCGCUGUGAAGAUGCAGUGUACCCGCGGCAAGACGGAAAGACCCCGUGAACCUUUACUAUAGCUUGACACUGAACACUGGUCCUUGAUGUGUAGGAUAGGUGGGAGGCUUUGAAGCGUGGACGCCAGUCUGCGUGGAGCCAACCUUGAAAUACCACCCUUUAAUGGCUGGUGUUCUAACGUAGACCCGUAAUCCGGGUUGCGGACAGUGUCUGGUGGGUAGUUUGACUGGGGCGGUCUCCUCCCAAAGAGUAACGGAGGAGCACGAAGGUUAGCUAAUCCUGGUCGGACAUCAGGAGGUUAGUGCAAUGGCAUAAGCUAGCUUGACUGCGAGAGUGACGGCUCGAGCAGGUGCGAAAGCAGGUCAUAGUGAUCCGGUGGUUCUGAAUGGAAGGGCCAUCGCUCAACGGAUAAAAGGUACUCCGGGGAUAACAGGCUGAUACCGCCCAAGAGUUCAUAUCGACGGCGGUGUUUGGCACCUCGAUGUCGGCUCAUCACAUCCUGGGGCUGAAGUAGGUCCCAAGGGUAUGGCUGUUCGCCAUUUAAAGUGGUACGCGAGCUGGGUUUAGAACGUCGUGAGACAGUUCGGUCCCUAUCUGCCGUGGGCGCUGGAGAAUUGAGGGGGGCUGCUCCUAGUACGAGAGGACCGGAGUGGACGCAUCACUGGUGUUCGGGUUGUCAUGCCAAUGGCACUGCCCGGUAGCUAAAUGCGGAAAAGAUAAGUGCUGAAAGCAUCUAAGCACGAAACUUGCCCCGAGAUGAGUUCUCCCUGACCCUUUAAGGGUCCUGAAGGAACGUUGAAGACUACGACGUUGAUAGGUCGGGUGUGUAAGCGCAGCGAUGCGUUGAGCUAACCGAUACUAAUGAACCGUGAGGCUUAACCUUACAACGCCGAAGCUGUU
rnacentral:rRNA from 1 species